GUGUGUGUGUGUGUGUGUGUGUGUGUGUAUGUCUAUAUAUAUAUGUAUAUAUAUAUAUGUAUAUAUGUACAUAUAUAUAUAUAUUGGUAUUCAUGUCUAAGAAUCUUUGCCUCUAUAGAUGACAAAUUCGGUCACAAUGCCUACUAGUCCAUGCCUAGCACAUCCAAUCAAUCGAUAUAAUUGCAACUCAACCUCUCUCAACCAUAAGUGCAAGAAAUAACAAAUACUUGUUAGAUUUGUAUUUAAAGCUAUAAGAUCCUAAUUAUUCUUAAAUCUAAUUCCUAUAUCUAACUUAGUUCAAGACUAGAUAAAUAUGAAAUUUAGGUUAUACCACGAUUUAAGAGCUAUAAUGUAGAAUCCCUUGGUAUGCUUCUUCUUGAUAAGAUGAGUGUACUUAUCCACAAAUCAAAAUUGAACAUAGAAGAGAUUUGUAUAUAAACAACACUAAUUGUGACAACACUUAGGGCCUGAAUUAGUUAGAACGAUGCAACCCAAUUCAUAAUGUUAAGAAACAGAUAACCCAUCUAAGUAAAGAUAGUAG
rnacentral:lncRNA from 1 species